UACGUAGGGUGCAAGCGUUGUCCGGAAUUAUUGGGCGUAAAGAGCUCGUAGGCGGUUUGUCGCGUCGGCUGUGAAAACCUGGGGCUCAACCCCGGGCCUGCAGCCGAUACGGGCAAACUAGAAUUCGGUAGGGGAGACUGGAAUUCCUGGUGUAGCGGUGAAAUGCGCAGAUAUCAGGAGGAACACCGGUGGCGAAGGCGGGUCUCUGGCCGGUACUGACGCUGAGGUGCGAAAGCGUGGGGAGCAAACAGG
rnacentral:rRNA from 1 species